AACGCAUAUUGCGCUCUCUGGUAUUCCGGAGAGCAUGCUUGUUUGAGUAUCAGUAACCACCUCAAAGCACCGAGAUUGUCGUUUCGGAUCUUUGGAUUUGAGUGAUCCCAACGCGUUUUUGUAAUACAAAACAUGGCGGGCCACUUGAAAUGCAGGUGCAGCCGGACAUUCUUCUGAGCUAAAAGCAUAUUUAUUUAGUCCUGUCGACACUUGUGUCUUCGGAUUAUUACUUUUGCUGCAGCUAACAUAAAGGUUGAUUGUUCCAAAUGCUGACUGAUGCAGGAAUUUAUCAGUAGCGCAAGCUUUCUGUUAAACUCGAUCUCAAAUCAAGUAAGACUACCCGCUGAACUUAA
rnacentral:misc_RNA from 1 species